rnacentral:lncRNA from 1 species
AAUAAGUAAAGAAACAUGAGUGAAAGCAAACGAAACAGAGAAGAAACAGGGGAGAAAGAAAGAAAGAAAAAGAAAAAGGAAAAUUUGGGUUUCAAGGCUCAAAGUUUAAUUUGGUAAGUCAAUUAAGUCAUUUCUUCUUAAAUUUUGAUGUUUUAGAAGCUUUGGAACAAGACUUUGAUGAAAUUAAGUUGAUAUUUUGAGAGUUUAUAGAUUUUCAAGUAUAGUUCAUGUUGAAUAAAAUAGUGAAUUAAGGGUUUAAUUGAGUAAAUUUCAAGCUAGAAUUGAUAAUAGGAUCAAAUUGUAAAGUAAGUUAUAAGUUUUAUGUUGUAGGGACUAAAUUGAUGAAAUUUUGAAAUUAGGAAAGUAUGCUGGAAAUUUAAUAUUUAAAUGAGAGUAUGGAUGAAAUUUGAAUAGAAAUAAAGUAUGAAUUAAGAUAGAAAAGUAAGUGAAUUUAGUUAGAAUUAAAUUGAAAUUAAAGUAAAUCAACAUUUUGUACUAAGACUAUUUUGGACAGCAGCAGUAGUCUAAGUUUGAAAAAAAUCACCAAAAAUUGUAGAAAUUGAAUUAGAGGAUGAAUAAAAUAUGAAAUUAAAUAUUAUUGAGUCUAGUUUCUUAUAGAAGAAACGAUAUAAGCAAUUGAAUUGUAAAUUAUGAGAUAUAAUAAAUUUUGUGAGACAAUGUCAGAAUGAAUUCGGGUUCCCCUGUUCUGACUUUGGAAAAUCACCAAAAAUUGAAUAAAAAUAAUUAGAGGCUUAAAGUUAUAUGUUUAGAAUCCCUAAUGAGUCUAUUUUCAUUAGAAAUCAACGAGAAUGUUAUCCGAGUUCUGUACUGUGAGAUAAUUAAUUUUUAGUGAAGAAGGGACGAAACUGUCAGACAGCAGAAUAGGGGUGAAUUUAAAGAAUAAACUAUACUUAAUGGCUAAACCAAAAAUUCUAAAAAUUUUAUUGUAAGAAGAUUUGUGAGUCUAGUUUCAGGAAAAUUAGCGGAUCUUAAUUUAUAAUUCUAUAACUCAAGGUAUGAAUUAGUAAUGUAUUAAUGAUUAUGAAUUGUAUUAAUUUCGUAAUCAAUGUGGUACCAGAAAUCUCGGCUAAGAAAGGACAAGACAAAGUCAACGGGAGUUAUCUCAAAAAUUACGGUUUGUAUUUCUAUGAUCCGAACCUAAUACUUAAUUGUUGAAUUUAUUUCUUAAUAUGUAUAUUAAGUGUUUUGAAGUAAGAAUUAUUGUGUUUUGCAAAUGAAAUGGAUUGAUAUAGUAUGUGAUGAAUUUAUUGAAUUUAUAUUGAUUGAAUUGGCGUAUAUAUAUAAAUAUAUAUAUUGAAUAUUGAAUAUAUAUUGAUUAUUUGAAUUGAAUUGAAAUAUAAAUUGUUUGAAAAUUUUAAAUAUGAGAUUUGUGAUAUUUGGAUAUUUGUUAUUGAAAAGUGAAUUGAAUUGUAUUGAAUUAUGAAUUUAUGUGAUUAAUUAAAAUGUGUAUUGAUUGAAAAAAAUUGAAAGUGAAUUGAAUACCCUAUUAACAGUAUCGGGCUGAGUCGGAUAUAGUUGGCAUGCCAUAGGAUUGGAACUGUUCAGGGAUUCUUCGACCUCGAGUCGAUGAGACACUGGGUGUCACUAUAUUUCUUCGGAUAGAUUCGAUGAGGUACUGGGUACCAACUUUACUUCGGCAGGCCGAUGAGACACUGGGUGUCAAAUGUUGCUUCGAACUAUCCGAUGAGGCACUGGGUGCCAUAUUGGUGUGUUUGGUUGGAUCCGUGUAUCCGCCAAGGUCCGAGUCUUGUUAAUAAGGGUAAAUAAGUGAAAAGAUAAGUCGAGUGAAUUUGAUUGAUUGAGCUAUUGGAAUGAAAUGAGAAAUUGAAAUUGAGAUAUGAGAUUGAAAACAUGAACCAAAAGGUUCAUGAAAUGAGUGAAGUUCAAAUGGAUGAUGAUUGAUGUUAGAAUGAAUUAAAAUGGUAUAUUGUUAAGAAAUAAAGUGUGAAAACAAGUGAAUUGUGAAUAUAUUGUAUAGAAUUUAUACGGUAGGCAAAUGAAAAGAAUUGAACAAAUAUGUUAUUGUGUUUGUUAUAUGACUUGUCUAGAAUUUAUAUGGUAAGUAAUUGAAAAUUUAUCUAUAAAACAAAUAAAUGAAUACUUAUAAUUGUUAUUGUGAUUUUAAGUUUAAUUGUUCUAUUAUUAAGUGUUCGGAUUAUGGAAAUACCACUGAGUAUACCAUACUCAGCGUACGGUUUGUUUCCGUGCGCAGGUUUAGUAAAGAUAGAACGUUGAAUCAGCAUCUCAGUUCGAUCCCGAAUUCAUUAAGGUAAAGUGUGUUAAUUAUUGGUAAUGGCAUGUACCUAGGUUGUUUUAUGAGAGUCAUUUAGGUUGUAGAUGUACUCAUGAAAUGAGUAAAUUAUGGUUGGCAACGGUAUGUAGUAUGAAUUUUGAAAUUUACUAAAAAUUCGUAGUGAUUCUAAAUUAGUCCCGAAUUAAAUUUACUGUUCAUAUUGGACCGCGAGGGCCCAUUAAAGGGACAACAUCUUAAAACUAGGAUGUGUGUAAAUAUUUAUUUUAAUUAAUGACCGAAAUUGGACUGUACUGACUGGUAAUGUCUCGUAACCCUGUUCCGAUGACGGUAUAGGGUUAGGAGGCGUUACAGGUGUGUUCCUCAAAACCUUAGACUAAAACAGAUUUGAAAGCUUGAAAAGCUUAAUUGGAGUAUGCGGAGCUUAAAGUGUUAACUAUGUUUUGGAUGACAUCUACAUGACGUAACUUGAUCUAACUAAAUUAUAUAAUGUAUAAAUGUUGAGCAUUAAUUUUUUAGAAUAAAAUUUAAAUUGAAACAAUGCAAAAAUAUUGAGGUUAAAAUUAUUAUUAUACCAAAUUUAAAAAUUGUUAUGUGUUUUUCCCUGUUAACCAUUUAAUAGUUAGUGGUCAAAAAAAUAUAAUCAAAUGACGAAUUUAUAAAUUUUUAUAAUUAGGUAACUCAAAAUAAAACUUACUAAUAAUUGAGUAAUUAUUAAUUUAGUUUUUCAACGCAUGACAGGUGGGAGGGUCCAUGGUUUUACAGUCCAAGAGUGCGUCCAAAAUGUUCAUUAAUUCGCUCUGCAAGACGUUGUUCCUUGGUUCCCAAACUAGCCCUUAUUAUUAUUAUUAUUAUUACUACUUGAAAUAUAUUAACUGGAUUUUAUUAUUAACCUCUAAAAGAAAAAGCCCAACAAAACAUAAAAUCCAGGCAAUUUUACUAAAUUGAUAAAAAAAAAAUUGAUUGAUAAAAAAAAUUGAUAUUUAUAAAAAUUACUCAAAUUUAAAAACAAUAAUCAAAAUGACUUGAAAUGAACAGUAAAAUAGAGUUUUGGCGUGUCAAUGGCUGGCACCAAUUCGUAUUUUAGACUCAUGAUUGUCUGAUAAUUGUGUCAGGCUUUAAAAUUUUGAUUUUUUUGAUUCUAGUCUAUCAAUGGCCGGCACCAGUGUAUUUUUUUUAAAAUCGUAUCAUACCGGUAUACAAAAAUACUAGUAUUUUAAAAAAAUUUUGGUGUUAUCCUGUCA